AUUUAUAUAGUUUAAAAUAAAACAUUACAUUUUCAAUGUAAAAAUAAUAAAUCAUUUAUAAAUA
rnacentral:tRNA from 1 species